UUAAAACCCCAUGCCACCCUGAACGCACCCGAUCCCAUCUGAUCUCGGAAGCUAAGCAGGAUCGGCCUGGUUAGUACUUGGAUGGGAGACCACCUAGGAAUAUCAGGUGCUGUAGG
rnacentral:rRNA from 1 species